GUUAGAGCUGUAGGAAGAGCAGACUAGGUUAGGGCUAUACUGCAGGCUUAGAUAUUUCAUUAUUAUUUUAUUUUUUUUCAUAGGGAGAAAAAAAAAAGGAGCUGAGUAAAUUAUUUUUGUUAAAUUAAUUCUAACAUUUAAAAGUCAGAAUAGGAUCGCAGUUACUUUAAAAAUUGCUUAUCUAAUAGUUUAGUGUAAUAAGAUCAGGGUGUUUCAAAAUUUUAUCUAGAAUAAAAAAUUUUUGUUUUGUUUUUUUAAAUAGGAACUAAAUAAUCUUUACUAUAGGAUGUUCAGGAUAUAGUUAGGGAAAAUAAUCCAAUAAUGAUUUUAGUUGAUGUUAAUAAGUGUACAUUAUUGCGUGUUAGCAAUUUAUUUUUUCCUACUGAAAACAGAUAUCACGUAAUUGUAAUAAGCCGAAGAUAUUGAAGAAAGGAAAAAAAAAAAAAAAACUAGCUUAACAGGUGGAGGACAAGAAGGACAAAAGAAUUUAGAAACUAAUCACGUAAUAAGCUGAAGAUAUUGAAGAAAGGAAAAAAAAAGCUAGCUUAAUGGGUGGAGGACAAGAAGGAAAAAAGAAUUUAGAAACUAGAAGACAUUAACCUGCAGGAAAAAAAUAUAAUCAAGAAAAGAAAAUUGACGAGGGAAAUUUUGAAGUUUAGAACAGAUUAAGAGGGAUAUGGAGGAACAAGAAAGAAACAUGAGAAGGAAUUUAGAAACCUAGAAAAUAUUAAUAUAUGGGGAAAAAAAAAAAUCAAGAAUGAAAAUUGACCAGGGAAGCUAAGAAGGUUAGAACAGACUAAAAUGAACCAAAUUCUCGAUUGGAAAAUAAUCAAGGCAAAUUCAGAAUGCUAGAACAGAUAAUCAUGAACAAGAUUCAAGAUGAGAGCUGUGAAAAGGCACAUUCAGAAGGCAAGAACAAGAUUAAAAAUAAACAAGGUAAAUUCCGAAGUCUAGAAUUUCCAGAAAACAAGACUGACAGCUGGCCAGUGAAGUACUGAAAGGCAGAGCAUACUGCGCCUUCUAAAGGUAAUAUUUAUCCAAAUUAGAAGAAAGAAUUACUGCCAUAUGCAGUGAAAAUUCUACAACAUAUAGCAUCUUUGCAAGCAGACUAAAAGUAAGCGAUAAUUGUAUGCUCUCAUGCGUACAUGCCAUAAGCACAUAAAAUUGAUUAUGUAGAGAAAAUGCAAGAAAGUAUUUACUUUGCGCAUAGAAAAUCAGUUGUUGUUUUUUUUGCAUUGAGGAAAUCUAUCAAGAAAGAAGUUAGAAUUUAAGACAGAAGGGCUUCUGUUCCGGAUUAGCUAGAGUAAUCUGAAAAUAGCGAAGGAUAUUUUUAGACGUGGAGGUAGUGUUUCCUUCUUGGGCAAAGCAGGAAGAUUUAGAAGAGAAUGAACUAAGAAGCAGGAAGACCAAUCGAACUUGCAGCUUUCAAUAAUAGAGGACAAUAAAUGAAUGAUAAUACAGCAUAAAAAAAAAAAAUUAAAUUACUAGGAUGCAAAACUAAAUAUAUAUCUCAAUUCAUCAUCCUUAAAUAUGUAAUAAUUUUAUCACUUGAAGAUCAUUUAUAAGGACUUGAGAAUAUCAGAUUAUAGUUCUUGGAUCCCCCCUCUUAAAGUCAAGGUUUUAGCAAUUUCCAAAGGUUUGGUGUCUGUACCAGAUGGUGUGUUAUCUGUACUUCGUCGCCAUUGAAUGGAAGCUAGCGUGAGCAAGGAGGAAAGCCUGAAGUGGUGGUGAAACUAGGAUGGGAAAAGAGCAAGUCUUUUGAAAAUCUGAAUUGGUGGUAGCGAUCCCAAAGAGAAAGCAAAUGGAAUCAGCUCAGCUAGAAGGCAAUUGGAAAGCCCAGAAUGGGAGAUGCUGUAGAUGUUGGUAGAAGCGUCUAAGUCUUUGGAUGCGGAAAUCCUAGAGAAAGCAUACUUGUGUUAUAAUGGCCGGCCCAGUCGUACGUAUGUGGGACCAAAUAUUCGAGUAGGUUUGUAAUUAAGGAUGAAGUUGGGGGUUGGUUGGAGGGAGCGACAUGGUUUCUUGUAGCUUUUGUUUUGCAGGAUUAUUCUAGGUAUCUUUCCUGAUGGUUUAUGCUGUUUUGCGUCCUUAUACGGCUUGUGAGUGGAUCUGUAAGCCAGCUAGGAUUGGAAUAUCCAUUCGUAGCUGUUUAGAUAGCCUCUGUAAGUUGGUGUAUGUGAGCUGAACAACAGAAGAGUCAGCGCCAUCUGGUGGCAUUUGGUAAGACUUUUACAUUUUUCCCAAAUGGGUAGAAAUUAGUGGUUUUAUCACUUUUCUAUAGUGACACUAGUUGACUUAUGGCAUACUGCCUUUUUAACUUUUUCUCUCUCUAACAUUCACACUAGAAUACUUGACUUUCCAAUAUGUUAAAUGUAAAGUCUUUUAAUUAAGGAAUACCUUUUUUAACUCUUCUGCUAGAAGGGUGAAGUAGACGACUUUUUGCAUGCCCAUCUGGUACGCAAAUAUUUAAGACAUAUUUAAGACAUAUCGUGUGUUCAUCUGAAUUAGUUCCAAUAAAUUGACUUGUAUGGGAUACAUACUUAUUUUUAGGGCAUACUCUUGUGGGUGGGAAAGGGGCGGGUGUCAAACCUCUUUGUUUUUUCUAGAUUUUUCCAGACUUGAAUAGUGAUAUUUAUAAAGAAACCAUCUGCAGUGAUUUCGAUCAGAUUGGACUCAAAGGUUUUGCACAGGUAUCUCUGAUUACGUGUCCUGUGGAUUUCUUCCUACUUAUUCAUUUCCACGUAAGAAAUAGCCCCUAGGGCACAACGUAGUAGUAAAUAGUUUGGGGAGGAGGGGUAGCUUUAAUCAACUGUUGUUCAGGGAUACCGAGAAAAGACUUGUCCACUAGAAAACAAGUAAAUACCCAUUUAGCAAAAUAUACCCCAUAAGAUCAUUCAAUUUAUUUGUGUGAAACUAGGGUAACCAUUUUUUAGCCUUGCAACAUAAUUUCAUUGUGAAUAAUUUUUAAGAAAGUAACAUUGGAUGGGACUUGUCUGUUGAUGAUAACAUUUGUACAUUUAGAUAGAAUUCUAUCGUAACUUUCUCUUGAGUUGUAACUUUCGUAACGGUCAGUAUGUGUCUUUAAUGGAGAGAGUGUUAAUCGUUAACUCACCAGGCUUCCUUUCAACCUAUUAAACACUGUGUUUCGGAAUGUAUAGAUUGACUGGCUUAAUUUAACCAUUAUGUUUGUCUGUGUAAAUUUUAUUUGUUUGGGUUUUUUUUUUUUUUUUUAUAAUAACCUGGUACUUUUAAAGUACAGAAAUGUCAGUGAUGGUAAUUCUGCAUGUUUGUAUUAAACUCCCACAUUAAAUUGAGUAAAUCCUCCCUUAAACAUAGCUAAAAUGUGUCUUGUAUAUGUUUGGGGUAGGGUAGAGGAUUUUUUUUUCCUUCUACACUCUUUUCAGAUUCGUCAUUUUGAAAUGGCAGCAAGCCAAACAUGCAGUAAUAUGGAGUUGAAAAUCUAAAUUGUGAAAGGUACCAAUAAUGGAUGAGUGGAAAUUGAUGCAUAAUAGAUAAUCCUUAAAGAGUGGAAAGAAAACAUCAGAUUUAAGUACCAACCUGUUGCGCUUUGAUUAACCAUAAAAAAAAAAGUUACGAGGAAAAAGAAUAAUCAUCCCUUAUUUCUUCUCCAAGUAUUACCUAUGUUUGCAAGUAAUCUAAUUUAAUACAAAGUGCCUUCUGUGCCAUCAACCGUUGAAUCAUGAAUUAAAGAAAUAUACCUUAUAUAUUUUAUACAUAAUCACAAUAAUGAAAAGACUGAAAGAAAUAGUUAAUAUUCUUCAACCAAAGAAUAGAAGUGAAAAUAUUUGCGUAGAUGUUUCUGAAAGGUGAGGUGUAUCCAGAACACCCACGUCAAUAUGAACAAUUUGCAGCUUAAAGACUGAAAUAAUUUAAGACGUCACAUUGGAGAGAUUAAUGAGCUAAUACCUGAUGAUAAACAAAUAAAUAGGAGAUCCCAUCACCUUUCUUCCAUGAUUGAUGUAAUUCUAAGAGUUCCGUCCAAGAAGUGUAAUGACAAAAUGUGUCGUGUGGAUCCAAGUCUCUAAAUUGAUUGGGGAAAAGAGAUCGAGUGGUAUUAACGGGGAUUUCCAGGAAGCAGUGUGUGCGUGUGCGUUAUUGUACUUACCUCAGACAGGUAUACUAAGCAGAUUAGAGAAGACUAGUUCUUUAUUACAUUUGGAAACUACGCCUCUUAACAGAUAAGUGAAGUAAUUGCUAUGGUUGCAUGCUUUCAUGGAGUGCAUAUUACCUACCUCUUUGCAUACUAUGCAUUAAAUACAAUCUUCUCUCAUACUUAUGCAUUUUUAAUCUUUCCUUACUUAUUUUUCUGUGCUGUUUAAUUUCAGUCACGAGGCUGUUGGGCACUUACACUGGGUUUCAUAUUAAAUAUUUUGUUGGCCUUUUUUUUUUUCUCAUUUAACAAAAAUGUCAUCUUGUGAAGGACUGAUGCUUUAAUGCUUAUUCAUGUAUAAUAGUUGAAAUUUUUUUUUUUUAUCCUUUUUUUCAAAUCUCAUUGCCAUUUUCUAACUGUGGCUUUUGAUUUGUAUGUGCUUAGUUUGACUAUUAACUUAAUGAUUUGUGGUCUGCUGGUGAAUGGGUGGGAGGGGGUUUAUAUUGGUGUUUUGUUUGUUUUUUCCUCUUUCUUUCUCUUAGGAAACUAACUUUUGGGAGUAAGGAUAACACUGCUAUAGCAAAUUAUGUAACCUGGCAAGUGAUCUACUCUUUUGUGCAGUGAAAUAUUCACUUUCAUGUCUAAAGUUGACAGCCUGCAUAUACCAGCAUUCAUAAGUUAUUUCCUUUUGAGCUUGGUGAGAAAUAAUCUUGUCUUGACAUCAGACAGAGGAGCAACUUUAAGAGAGUUUGCAGUGGGUGUAAUUUAAAUAUUUAAUGGCCAAUAAGUACUUUGCGUUUAUUUAUGGGUUGCACUAACAAGGCACUGCCCAUAGCUAAAGGCCACAUUACUGUAUACUACAGUUUGUAUUGUGAUACAAAUGAUUUCAAUAUUCAGUACUACAGAAUAAAAAAAUAUUUCAAAAUGUUAUUGCGUGACUAUGGGAAAGUAAACAUUUCAUGCACAUAUUCACACUUUUAGCCUUGUUCUUUAAAUGGAACUCGUGGCACCAAAGUACAGUGCAUUAAGCGCUUCUUUGAAAAGGUAUGGGGGCAUUUUUUUUUUCUCCUCUCCUUUAGCCUCUUUUUUUCCAGAGUCGACCUGAGAUAAAGUUAAAGCAGAUCUUGUAUUCGGAUGUAUCAGAAGAAUAAGGCUUGCAAACGUUGGUGCGCUUUGGCAUGUAACAUUGUGUAAAGUGAACCCGUGCACAUAAAAUCUUGGUCAUCAUUCAGCGACGUAUUGGGAGGGGCAUGAGGCAUCCCGCACCUUGUCCAGUUUUAUUUUUUUUACAGACUUUUUUUUUUUAAGAGAAAAGUGGUUGGAUUCUGUAGCAGGUAAUGUGCCAUGUGUGCAUGAACCUCCCUCGUAGACUGUCUGUAGUGAGUGGAAUGUCUCCUGGCUUCCUUAAUGUAUGGGCACGGAUAUACCGUAUAUGAGCACCAGCCAUCACAGCUUGUUGGUAAACCAUGAGUGUGAGAUGUCAACGUGAAUUGAAUGUUGUACAGUUUGUGGAAGGAUUGGGGUUUUUUUUUUUUUUUUAAUUCUUUUGCAGAUGCAUCUGACAAAUCAUUGAAAUGAAAAAAUCUUGAAUAUCCCUCGAAAAUGCACUACUCCUCAAAUAAGUGGCAAGUGAAUAUACAUUUCUCAUCAGUACCUGGAAAAUCCCAUGCAUGUUUUGUGUGUCUUAUUUUCCUGCACAGUGGUUUGCUAGAGCCAAAGAAUACAAAUGAAUAUAAACGUUUGUGUAUGAAAAGGCUAGUUGUGUGACACCUUCAUGGGCUGUGGGAAGGGAAAGGACCAUUCUCUAGUUUUGUCCUGCAGAUUUACAAAUGGAUAUCGAGAUGUUGUGAAACAGUGGUAGAAGACUUUAAUGACAAUCUUACAGGCUGUUUGUAAUUGGUGAGGCUAUACAGAUGUCUUGCAUCCUGCAAACUUAAUUCUGAACUACUAACGUGUGAGGUUGGUGUCUCUUUUUGUCUUUCCUAGUGUGCAAUAUUGUAUAGGUUAAUAUUUCGUAUUAACACUUUCAAAUCACUUGACCAUAUGCUACCUCCUAAUUGCCAUAUGCAAAGGAGAUACUGGCUUACGUUCCAAAACCAUGUCCAAAAUACUUACCCCAAAGUACACCAGUUGCUUUCAUAAUACAUAUUUUUAAUUUACAUAUGUGUUUUAAAAAAAAAAUGGCAAUCGUGCUGCACUUCUGUCUGUUAUCUGCAUUGUAUCUAACCGUACUGCUCCCUCUAUAACAGCCCCUCUCUUCAUUGGAAAACCUCUUAUUUUAAGGCGAGCAUGUAUAUAAUUAAUUAGAUGUCACAAAUGAGCAUCCCCCACCCCACUAUUUUCUUUUGCAUAAGCAUGAUUUCACCAAUGCAUUUAACAUUCAUUAAAUAUCUCACUUCCCAUUUAUAUUAAAUUCCUCCCUUCUCUUUAUUUACCACACUUUAAUUCAUAUCCAGAACCUUUACAGUAUUAAUAGUAAUGCUGUUUGCAAUGGGAUGACUGUGGGGUUAGGAUCAUGAUGCGGGAGGAGGGUGGGGGUGUAUGCUAACCUCCAGUGUGUCUUCAGAUUAUUUUCCAGGUUCGCAAUACAGUGGUUCAGACCAAGGCAGUAAGAAUAGUCACGCUUUUAUAAGCAGUAGUCUUUUGGGUGGGUUCUUAAAGGUUUUGCGUAUGAAGAACAUGUCAUUGAAUCUGGUUGACUGAAAUAUGGAACAAAGUGAUACAGUUCAGAAUGUCUUCUAUAUGGAAGGGAUCUUUAAAAGGUGUUACUUCGUACGUUCUUGAAUAACCUGUAAUGCUGAUGAGCUUUCUUGAUGCUGUUGUAACAAGUGUAGCGGUAUGUAUUUCUUUAACUUUCUUUAUGAGGAAAAUCUAGGGGUCUUCAACCCUCCUUCAAGUCUAGUUUCCUUUUGUUUAGUUUUCAAUAUAGCAAGACCUAUUCAUUUUGAACGUCAAAAUGUUAAAAGGGUUAAACGUUUCCCCCUUGUACUAUUCGUAUUCUUUUAAAAAGAAAAAAACUGCAAGCAUUAUAAUUUCCCCCAGUGCAAAGAAAGUAGCUGUGCAAAGUAUUGAAAAUAAUUUUCCCCAGUGUAAAGUGGAGCAUAGUAGAAAAUGUUUAUCUCUUUUUAAACAAAGUAGUUGCAGAUAUUUUGGGAGGCAUGGGGGGAGAUUAUUGAAUUUGCAUUAUGUGCAGUCUUUUAGAAGUCAAGAAAAUAUCCAGUCUUGAAAUCUAAGGUAUGGUGUCUUUGAGAAUUGCAUCCUGAAUAUACAAGUUGGCCUUUGUGUGUGGAAGAAAAUUGGUGACUUAAGUGGGCGUUCUGGAAGGUAAUAUGAUCUACAUCUUGACCGUGCUUUAGUUCUGAAAAUGAAAAGGAAAAAAAAAAAUCUACUUAGUACCAUCUUAAAUAUGAGUGCACAGGGAUAGGGUGUAUAUCUAACAUGGGGAGGGAAAAUCUGUUUUCGACUCUUCCAGGUCUCAUCUCUCGAAGUCAGUCAAGUCAGGACAAAAGAUUAGAAGAAAAGAUAAGAUCACUGCUCUUCUGUAGCGUCAACGAAAAGGUUUUCUUUUACUGGAAGAACAUGCUUGUUCUUCCAGGUUUUGCUUUUCUCCUGUUAAUGUUCACAAAACAAAACAAAAAAAAGCAAAAGAUACCGGUGGUGGCACUCCUGAAUCUCAGGACGGGGUUCAAAUCCCUGCGGUGUCUUUUUGCUACAAUAUAUCCCCUGUUAUCUCCUGUUCUUUCUCUCUCUUUUUUUUGUUCAUUUUUGUUGCGCAGUGAUAUUCAGAUAUGAUCAUAGACAUAUUAACAAGUAAUCAAAAGAUCGCUAUUGGGUUAUGGUAUGAUGGAGAACAUCCCAGAUAUUAUGCAAAGUAAGCUGCAGAUUUCUGAAAUAAGAAACAAUUAACUAAAGAAGCUUAAAGGACCACUAUAGUGCCCUGAGGGUGCCCCCACCCUCAGGGACCCCAACCAUCGGGCUCUGGGGGGAGGAAGGGGUUAAACUUACCUCUUUCUCCAGCGUCGGGCAGGGGACUCUCCUCCUCUGCUGAAUGCGUAUGCGCGGCCGGAGCCGCGCGCCAUUCAGCCAGUCCAUAGAAAAGCAUUCACAAUGCUUUCUUAUGGACGCUGGCGUCUUCUCACUGUGAAAAUCACAGUGAGAAGCGCGGAAGCCCUCUCGCGGCUGUCAAUGAGACAGCCACUAGAGGCUGGAUUAACCCUAUUAUAUCUAUGUUUAUAUAAAAAAAAAAAAGGGUUAAACCUGGCACCCAGACCAUUUCAUUAAGCUAAAGUUAACACACACACAGACUGCCGAGUCCAUGCACACACACAGACUGCCGAGUCCAUGCACACACACAGACUGCCGAGUCCAUGCACACAUAUACAUGCGCACACACACAGACUGCCGAGUCCAUACACACACACACAGACUGCUGAGCAGUGGCGGAUCCAGAGCCUGAUAUCGGGAGGGGCACUUGUAGAUUAUUUAAAGAAAUAACCCAGACACAAUAACCACUACAGUUCAGUGUAGUGGUUAUGGUGUCAAUAGUGCCGGGACCCCCUCCCAGAGUAAGUAGUCAAACCGUUAAAGAACAGUUUGACAACUUACCUGAGGUCUGCUGGGAAAUGGGGCUGUAGUAGGUCAUGGGAGCAGUGGUGUGUGAGUGGUGCAAUGUGUAAGGGGUGCAGUGUGUGUGUGUGUGUGGGACAGUGUUUGAAGGUUGUAGUGUGUGAGUGAGGGCGGCAGUGUAUAUGUGGGACAGUAUGUGUGUGUAACAGUUGCAGUGUGUGUGUGAAUGUGGGCAGUGUAUGGGGAGUAGUGUAUGUGUGUGCAGUUUGUGUGUGUGUAUGGGGGGGCAGUGUGUGUGUAUGGGGAGCAGUAUGAGGAGGCAGUAUGUGUGUAUGGGGGGCUGUAUGGGGGGCAGUGUGUGUGUGUAUGGGGGGCAGUGACAGCCUACCUGUCACUGGAGGCUGUUGCUGGGGGUCAGGCAGCCAUCUUCUGCAGCAGCAUGGUCUGCUGCUUUACAGCGGGGCUUAUGUGCAGGAGGUGGGGCUUCGUUUGGGGGCGGGGCCUGUCAGUGCUCCCUCCAGUCACAGACAGCCCCCAGCACCUCAUUCCCUCCCCGGCUGUCACAAGCUGUUACAGUCCGAGGGAAGAACAUGGCCAGCAAGUUGCCGGCAUUUGGGGGGGCCCAAGGGCGGUACAGCAUGCUGUAGGGGGGCCAUGGCCCCCUAUGGCCCCCCCCUAGCGACACCACUGUGGCCAUUUGAAUAUAUAAGCUCACCUGCCACGUCAAGGCAAGCCUCAAUAGGUGAGUCCUACACUAGCCAUUAGAUAUGCUAUCAGCCAAGAAUCUCCAGUAAGACAGGAAGGGGUAUUUUAUAAACCCUUUCACAUUUAACCCUUUAUAGGACUUCUACACAUAUAAUAAACUUUGCUGGUAUCAGACAAAGUGUAAACAUCUCUAAUGAGACAUGAAGGGGUGUUUUAUAAACCCCUACAUACUUAACCCUGAAUAGGGCUAUAAACACAUACAAAUCACCUUGCUGGUAUCAGCUAAAAGGCAAAUUUCUCUGAUGAGACAGGAAUGGGUGCUGCCCCUACAUACUUAUAAACUCUUAAUAAGACAAACAUGGGGAGGCUGGCAGCAAUGGAACAUAGCUGUGUGAUACAAAAUUCAUAUACAAACACAAAGAUAAAGCACCGCGCUCACAGCAGUUACCUGCGCUCUGGCCUAAAUCCCCAUGUGCAUUUAAACAAAAUGGAGGCCCUUUAGUUUUAUUCCAAUGGCCAUUUGAAUAUAUAAGCUCACCUGCCACAUCAAGGCACGUGGGGAUUUAGGCCAGAGCGCAGGUAACGUUCUCUUUGUUUUUACUAUGUAUUUUAAGCUGUUUAGGGUGUUUAUCUAACAUGGGGAGGGAAAAUCUGUUUUCGACUCUUCCAGGUCUCAUCUCUGGAAGUCAGUCAAGUCAGGACAAAAGAUUAGAAGAAAAGAUAAGAUCACUGCUCUUCUGUAGCAUCAACGAAAAGGUUUUCUUUUACUGGAAGAACAUGCUUGUUCUUCCAGGUUUUGCUUUUCUCCUGUUAAUGUUCACAAAACAAAACAAACAAAAAAAAAAAGCAAAAGAUACCGGUGGUGGCACUCCUGAAUCUCAGGACGGGGUUCAAAUCCCUGCGGUGUCUUUUUGCUACAAUAUAUCCCCUGUUAUCUCCUGUUCCUUCUCUCGCCCCUUUUUUUUUUUUUUUUUUUUCAUUUUUGUUGCGCAGUGAUAUUCACAGAUAUGAUCAUAGACAUAUUAACAAGUAAUCAGAAGAUCGCUAUUGGGUUAUGGUAUGAUGGAGAACAUCCCAGAUAUUCUGCAGAGUAAGUAAGCUGCAUUUUUCUGAAAUAAGAAACAAUUAACUAAAGAAGUUUAAAGGACCACUAUAGUGCCAGGAAAAGAUACUCUUUUUCCACUCUCUCAUUUACUGUUCCCAUACAAAUUAUAUAUUUUUUUUCAGGACAAAAGGGGCUUUCAUUACAUACCAUUAUUUAUAUAAUCUCAUGUAAUUUCAUUUGUAAAAAAUUUAAAAAUGAUAAAUUAAAAAAAAUGUUUUUUGACUUUUACUUGAAAAAUCUUUUACUCUUCUACAAAAGCGAAUGAAAAAAACUGCUAAAUAGAUUCAAAUUUAUUUUCCUGAGUUUAAAAAUACCCAGUAUUUACAUGCCUUUUUGCUAUUUUUUAGCAUGUUAUAGAGCUAGAAGUAAAAGUAGGAUAUUGCGGUUUCAAAACAUACAUUUUUAAAAUAGAUAGUAGUGUUACAAUGUCACUAUUGAUAAGUCAUAAAUCUCUGAAUAAUACCCCAUAUGUACAUUUUUUUAAAAGUAGACAACCCAGGGUAUUCAAUAUGGGGUAUGUCCAGACUUUUUUAGUAGCCACUUAGUCACAAACACUGGCCAAAGUUAUCGUUCAUAUUUGUUUGUGUGUGAAAAAAGUAAAAAACUAAAUUGAACGCUAAUUUUGGCCAGUGUUUGUGACUAAGUGGUUACUAAAAAAAAGACUGGACAUACCCCAUUUGCAAUACCUUGGGUUGUCUUCUUUUGCAAAUAGUAUGCCAUCAUGGGGGUAAUUAUCAUUCCUGGGCUACCAUACGCUCUCAAAGGCAACGUUAUCAACCUGGCCAUUUUCAAUGAAAAAAUAUUUGACCCAUAUAUUUGACCCUGUAACUUUCAAAAACGCUAUAAAACCUGUACAUGGGGGGGUACUGUUACACUCAGGAGACUUUGCUGAACACAAAUAUUAGUGUUUCAAAACUGGAAAACGUAUCACAACAAUUAUAACAUCAGUAAAAGUGCUGUUUGUGUGUGAAAAAUGCAAAAAAGUCACUUUCACUGACAAUCAUCGCUAUGAUAUGUUUUACUGUUUUGAAUCACUAAUAUUUGUGUUCAGCAAACUCUCCCGAGUACAACAGUACCCCCCAUGUACAGGUUUUAGGGUGUCAUAGAACGUUACAGGGUAAAAUACAGUGCUAGCAAACUAAAUUCUAAUCCGCCAUGGGGAGACUCUGUCUGGGCUGUAGGCAGUCUCCCCACACCGGGAGCAACGCCGAUCACCGCUGGGGGAACGACGGUGCCCGGGUGAGUACAUCUUACCGUUAGGACGGUUCAGGACCGUCAGCGGUCGGCAAUGUAAAAAUGAACCGUCCUCGGUCCUUAAGGGGUUAAAAACCUCUAAAAUGUACAAAUACAUAAAUAAAUAUUCCUAGCACAUUGUAGUGGUUAUUGUACCAGGAGUGCCCUGGCACCCCCUCAAUGUAAGCAAACAGUUUGGUGAUGGUUUGACUUCUUACCUAGGAUCUGUCAGGCACCACUCCCUGACUCUCUCCUCUGGUGCUGAGUGCGGGAGCUUCUGCUAGGAGCUCCAGUUAGCUGUCUGCUGCUAGCCCUGCAGUGCAGGGGUAGAUGUUUCAGCUCAGGACAAAAGCUUCCAGCUCCAGAAGAGGCAGGGAUCAGCGACUGGCGGACCCUGAAUAAGAAGUCAAACCAUUUACCAAACAGUUUAACUACUUGCACUGGGGAGGGAAGCACCAGAUCACUCCUGGCCCCAUACCCACACUCACACUACAUCCCCUUUCCCUAAUUGCAGCAGCCCCCAACCCUCCUAAUACAGUCCUUAUCCCACACUACACUUCCUAACCCCCUAUUUAUAACUCAUACCCAACACUACAGCCCCUGUACCUCCAUUAGAGCCCCUAACUCCUAAAUUACAGCCUUCAUUUCCCUACUACAGCCCACUACCAGUGCCCCUCCCGAGAUAAGGUUCUGGGUUCGUCCCUGCCACGUCAGCCACUCCAGGUAAGCACUGGAGAAACAGUGACAGAUGUAGUGAGAGGAUGUCACAGUGUGCAUCCUGAGAGACCAAUCAGGACGCACGCUGUGUUUCUCUCUCACUACAUCUGUAAAGUCCGCCUACCAAGUAGCUUGUGAAGCUGCCUCCCUAAAAUGAGUUUUGGCAUGUUGUGAUAUCUGUUAUGGUGCUUGGAGUGUUUUUUCAUACAUAUCACAUAAUUACUGUGCUAAAAGUAGAAAAAAAAACCUAAAAUUACACCUGUUUUGUGUACAUUAUAUUUACCCUUUAAG